CAGAGGGUGCGAGCGUUAAUCGGAAUUACUGGGCGUAAAGCGCACGUAGUCGGCUUUGCAAGUCGGGUGUGAAAUCCCCGGGCUCAACCUGGGAACUGCAUCCGAGACUGCAUUGCUAGAGUAUGGGAGAGGGAAGCGGAAUUUCUGGUGUAGCAGUGAAAUGCGUAGAUAUCAGAAGGAACAUCAGUGGCGAAGGCGGCUUCCUGGACCAAUACUGACGAUCAGGUGCGAAAGCGUGGGGAGCAAACAGGAUUAGAUACCCUGGUAGUCCACGCCCUAAACGAUGAGAACUGGAUGUCGGGAGGGUUUGCCUUCCGGUGUCGUAGCUAACGCGUUAAGUCUCGCCUGGGAAUACGGCGCAAGGUUG
rnacentral:rRNA from 1 species